rnacentral:rRNA from 1 species
GCAACUCGCCUACAUGAAGUUGGAAUCGCUAGUAAUCGCGAAUCAGAAUGUCGCGGUGAAUACGUUCCCGGGUCUUGCACACACCGCCCGUCACACCACGAGAGUUUACAACACCCGAAGCCAGUGGCCUAACCGCAAGGAGGGAGCUGCCUAAGGUGGGGUAGAUGAUUGGGGUGAAGUCGUAACAAGGUAUC